UAAGCAGUGAUGAGCCUUUAACAUAUAAGAGAGAGAGAGAAUCCCUAGUUGGGUUUCCUCAAUGAAAUACAUGUUACGCUUGGCUUCUAAGUUUA